GGGAGUAAAAGUCGUAACAAGGUUUCCGUAGGUGAACCUGCGGAAGGAUCAUUAUUGUAUAACCGAGGUGCGAGGGCUGUCGCUGACCCGAAAGGUCGUGCACGCCCGAGUGCUCUCACACACAUCCAUCUCACCCCUAUGUGCACCACCGCGUGGGUCCCCCUUUGGCUUGUUCGGAGGGGGGCUUACGUUUUCACACAAACUUUGUAUGCAGUGUAGAAUGUAUUUUUUGUUUUUGCGAUCACGCAAUCAAUACAACUUUCAACAACGGAUCUCUUGGCUCUC
rnacentral:misc_RNA from 1 species